rnacentral:rRNA from 1 species
UACAGAGGUCUCGAGCGUUGUUCGGAUUCAUUGGGCGUAAAGGGCGCGUAGGCGGCGGGGUAAGUCUGGUGUGAAAUCUCGGAGCUCAACUCCGAAAUUGCACUGGAUACUGCUCUGCUAGAGGGCUGGAGAGGAGACUGGAAUUUACGGUGUAGCGGUGAAAUGCGUAGAUAUCGUAAGGAAGACCAGUGGCGAAGGCGGGUCUCUGGACAGUUCCUGACGCUGAGGCACGAAGGCCAGGGGAGCAAACGGG